UACGUAGGGUGCAAGCGUUGUCCGGAAUUAUUGGGCGUAAAGAGCUCGUAGGCGGUCUGUCGCGUCGGCUGUGAAAACCUAGGGCUCAACCCUGGGCCUGCAGCCGAUACGGGCAGACUAGAAUUCGGUAGGGGAGACUGGAAUUCCUGGUGUAGCGGUGAAAUGCGCAGAUAUCAGGAAGAACACCAAUGGCGAAGGCAGCUCUCUGGGACGGUACUGACGCUGAGACGCGAAAGCGUGGGGAGCGAACAGG
rnacentral:rRNA from 1 species